AUUCCUCGUUAGGUGAGGCUCCUAUGCAAACAUAGGCCACUGCCCAGAAAUAUCGAAAGAUGCCCAUGGGUAGAACAGGGAUUGCCGGAUUAAGGCUUUUCAUAAGGUGGCUAAGGAAACGAAUCUCGUUUGCUUUACGUUGUAUAGUGCCAAAACUCGACCAGG
rnacentral:sRNA from 1 species